AUUGAACGCUGGCGGCAGGCCUAACACAUGCAAGUCGAACGGUAACAGGAAGAAGCUUGCUUCUUUGCUGACGAGUGGCGGACGGGUGAGUAAUGUCUGGGAAACUGCCUGAUGGAGGGGGAUAACUACUGGAAACGGUAGCUAAUACCGCAUAACGUCGCAAGACCAAAGAGGGGGACCUUCGGGCCUCUUGCCAUCGGAUGUGCCCAGAUGGGAUUAGCUAGUAGGUGGGGGAACGGCUCACCUAGGCGACGAUCCCUAGCUGGUCUGAGAGGAUGACCAGCCACACUGGAACUGAGACACGGUCCAGACUCCUACGGGAGGCAGCAGUGGGGAAUAUUGCACAAUGGGCGCAAGCCUGAUGCAGCCAUGCCGCGUGUAUGAAGAAGGCCUUCGGGUUGUAAAGUACUUUCAGCGGGGAGGAAGGGAGUAAAGUUAAUACCUUUACUCAUUGACGUUACCCGCAGAAGAAGCACCGGCUAACUCCGUG
rnacentral:rRNA from 1 species